rnacentral:rRNA from 1 species
AUGGGCUUUCGUGACGUUCAUAGCUUUAAUUUGGCACUCCUAGCUAAACAGGUUUGGAGGCUUAUUGAGCACCAUGACUCACUGUGCGCAAGGGUCCUCCAUUCAAAAUACUACCCAACGGGAGAAUUGCUGAAUUGUGAGCUCAAGAAGGGAGCCUCAUUU